GACCUCGUAGCUCAGUUGGUAGAGCAUUGGACUAGUAUUCCAAAGGUCGCGGGUUCGAUUCCCACCGUGGUCA
rnacentral:tRNA from 1 species